UGUAAUACUUGAGCCACUUAGCUCUCACGUGUUUGAGAAGUGCUUCGACCAGAAUAGAGUAGUAAGCACCGUGUCAGUUUUCUGAUGUUCAAAUAAAAGUAUCUCAAAGGGAAACGGAGUUGCUCAAAGUCAUUGGAUGUUUGGUAGCAGAACUCGGAUGGACACUAAAGUCUCCCUAAUGCCACCAUGAUCCUUGUGGUUCUUAGAGUUGUUUCUUUUUCUCUCUUCACGGUUAUAAUUUAGUGCAAACUUGAGAGUAGGGGUAGAUCACAUCUGCAUUGUCAACCUCAGCCCCAGGGUGGGAGUCACUGAUCACCUCAAACCAUGCUUGGUUUUACUGUCUCUCCCUAAGUCAACGGAGCUCUUCUCUGUGACAGUGACACCACCUGUCAGUUCCUGUACAGUUAGUACAUUGUCAGGAUGGGUGUCACCAGGUCCAUAUAGGUGCAGAGUCCUUUUUGCUGUUUAUUAAAAAAAAAAUUAAUGUUUUAUUUGUUUUUGAGAGAAAGAGAGAGACAGAGUAUGAGCAUAGGAGGGCAGAGAGAGGGUGGGAGGACACAGAAUCUGAAGUAGGCUCCAGGCUCCAAGCUGUCAGCACAGAGCCCGACAUGGGUCUUGAACCCACAAACUAUGAGAUCAUGACCUGAACUGAAGUUGGACAUAUAACUGACUGAGCCACCCAGGCGCCCCUACUGUUUGUUUUAGAAGAAUACUGACUAUUGAUUUUGGGGACACAAAUCAGCGUCAGCAAGUAAGCAGAUUUGCAAAUAGGGAGUCCGUGAAUGAAGAAGGCUGACUGCGGUUUUGAAGGGCUGCCUCCUGUGCCUUCUGGUGGUUGUACCUGAAAACACUGAGUACCUGCUAGUUCUUGGAAGGGUGAGGUUGUAUAUUUUGAGUGGCUGAGUAUAACUUCCUUCUGUUUGCUUUUUCCCAGUGUGUAAGCUGGUCCUCCUGGCCAGGGAGACCUCCUGAGCAGCAUGCUACCUUCCUCCUCGGUGCCAGAGUUGAUGACAAUUAUGCCUGUGUCAUGAGGUUCUUGGGUUCCUGAGUUCCGAGUACUGUGCUUUGAACUGGGGAUCAGAGUGCCAUAAUCUUGGAGUCCUGCAGACUGGAUCUCCUAAGGCUAAUCACCUGCAUGAACUGCUCUGUGGAAUUUAUUUGCCCUCCCACCUAUCUGGCCUUUCCAAGAGCUGAUAGCACCGUGGGACAGGUCAGGUUAACAAUUCUUGGUGAUCAGAAGUGGGCUCCAGAGAAGACCCCAACUGCUCCAGAUCUGGCUAGCAAACAGAAUUUAUGGAUCAAAAUCAUCCCAGCUUUUCAGAAUGCAUCCCACAGGAGUAUUGGCCUUGGUUGGAGAAUUGCCCAUCUAUAGGAAAAGGAGGAAGAGGCAUCCCUUAUCUUAAUUUUCCCAUAGCUGCCCAGGAGAAGCUUCAUGUCCUGAUCCUGAUAGUUGGACAGGAUAAGAAACCUCAUCUCCUGGCCCUGCAUUUUGCCUGGCUACUCCACUGGGAGCCAAAAUCUUUGUCAGUCUCGUGAGGUGCUGGGAGCAGUCACUCUUGUCCAGGUUGACCCUACCUCCAAGAACUGACCUUGUCUUCCCUGAUUUCUCCUAUCACUCUGUUUUCUGCCUGCAGGACUUUGGGGGUGUUGACUACGACCAAGCAAGACUUCCCUGGUUUAGGAGGAUGCACUAAUUUUAUUUUGGCCCAAGAAUAAUCAUCUUUACAAAUAUAUUUUAAAAGGCUUGUGAAAACGAUUUUUUGUAAGGAUAAAAUUGGCUGCCCAGAGGGCUGAAAGGGACAAAGUAGAGGUCUAUUUCCUUGCCUUUUUCAGCAGUGCCCACAGAAAUGUGUUCUAGCCAUUUAGAGUAUCUAGGAUGUUACAAAUUGGAGGACACUGGGCUAAGUGUAGCAAAAUGGCUCCUAUGUAUUCUAGUAAAAGCCCUUUAUAUAUUAUAGUGAUCUAUCCCUUAAAUGACACAGGCAUCCAUUCCUGUUCGAAACAGAAACAACCCAAAUAUGGAGCAUUUGGAGUCUGGCAACGAGGACAUUGUCACCAUCUCCCCAGCCUUUGGAUCAAAGGAGGGGAAAUUUCAAGGCUUGAGUAAAACAAAUCAAAAGGGCAUGCUGUCCUGCUUUUUUGGUUAAAAUCACAUUCUCCCCCAUCUUUUUGGGCAGACAGAAGUGGGGGGAAAACCUUUGUUUACCUUUUUUUUUUUUAAUCAAAAGCAUACUGACAAUCCAAGAAACCUUUGCUUUUUUAACAGAUACUAGGGCAGAAUUUUAAUCUUAUACCAGUGUACUUUUAAAAUCCAUUUAUUUUAACCUUAGUCCAUCCUGAGCACAUAUAAAAUUUAUUUCCAAAGAUUUCCCUUCACAAACCUUCUACAACUUUCCUUUCCUUUCAGAUUGUGACCUAAGCCCCUUUUUUCCAAACAACCAGUCUCAUUUGGGACAAAAUUACCUUCUUUUACCUUCAACAAAAAUGUAUUCCCCUUCCUUACAUCUUCCUUACAUAUAUCCUACUUUUCUACGUAGUAACUUUCUUAUCAGUCUUAAUUACAUUAAGCAGAAUUUUAACUCUUAAGAAACCUUAGUCUCCAAUGAAAACUAAGUAGUAACCAAUUGUGAACUGUUACAGAAUUCGGCAGAUGGCAAAAUUAUCAAUUAAGCAAAAGCAUGUUUUCCAAAAGACCCAAAUAUCCUUUGUUUCUGUGCAAUAAGAAGUAAAAAGCACAAACCUAUGUUUAGCAAUCAAUGCUUUAGCACUUUAUCUCGUUUGGAAAAGACCUAGAUGUCCAAUGAAUUCAAUUUCAAUUUAUCAUGCUAGCAAAACUUCUAAGUUUCAGGUUGCCAAAGACUUUGAAAGCUAUCUUAACAAUUACCCAUGAAAACUUUAAGAAUUAACCAUCAUUUUAAGUCACCCUUUUGCGAACAAAUUGCAACAGAGAUAACAUAAGCUAAUUUGACCUUCAGUAAACCUAGAUAGAAUAAAAAGUUUUCCAUUUAAUGCUGACUCUAUUUUUAAUUAAACCAACAAACUUGAAUUCAUUUAAAUACCAAAGUUUCUCUUGCAUCCGCUUAAAAGACAAUCAGUUUGUUCCCUAUUGUCAGUUUCUACCUGGGACACUGGUGGGGAGAUCUGAAGUGGUGGCCCAAGGGAAUGCUCUUUGCUCCCUGACAUCAGAGGGUGGGAGGAGAAACCAAUGAUGCCUGAGGCACUGAGGAUGGUAUAGCAGCCAGUUAUGCAGGCCUCACCCAAGGUGGUGCAGAAACAGGAGAAGGGGGAGGGGAAGGCAGAAGAGGCAAGAUUCUGCCUAAAAGCCUAAGGCAGAUAAAAGCCCAGAGAGCAGACAGAGAGGUCUCCUGGUCCUAAAGUCUGUCAACUUGAACAGAUGAGCAGACGCCAGGCUUUUCACCAAGUGGAAUUAGGCAGUACAUGUUGGGCUAGAGAAGACAGAGAACUUUCCCCGAUUAAAAGGAGUUUCAGCAGUGGCUUGGGAAUAUUCUUUAAAGUCUCCAUUCUGAGGUAGACUAACUAGAGAUAGUUGGCUCUAAUCACCAUAGUCAAUGACCCAGGAAGUGAAUGAGGAAGAAGCCCCCACAUACAGUUAGAGUAACUAGGGAUGUGCUCAGGAUGGACUAAGAAUGUAUUAGGAAAAACAGAGAGUGUUAGAGUCCCAUUUGUUAGGGAUGGCCUGUCUUUUUUCUUUCCUCAGUACCCUGGGUUAGGUUUUGGAACACUUCUAUAUAUUGAUCAGGAUUGUCUGCAACUUUGCUUAGGUUCUUUUUAUUUGCUUAGAAUCUUGCAAGGAAAAUGGAACUUUCAUGAGACCAAAUUCACCAUGAAGCAUUUUAGUCAAUAGAUACAUUGAAAGUGCCUUCCUUUCAAGGGGAAGAUUUUUCAUCUCUGACAAUCCUGGAUAAGGAGGGCAUGAGUGUCUAACAGGUAGCUUUUCCUGAGAAGAGCCCUCAGAGGACAAGUCUGCAAGAACUUGUUUUUCUCAGCCCCUUUAAAGGCCAGAAGGUUGGCACCUAACUUACAAGUCUUAUAUCAGGAAAUUUUGACCAUUCACCCUCUCUUUUACAAUAUAGAUCUAACACGGCAGCCCCAAACCUCUGGGAUGCAGCAAAGGCAGUCAUAAGAGGGAAGUGUAUAGCAAGCCAGGCCUUCCUAAAGAAGGAAGAAAGGUCUCAAAUACACAACCUAACCUUACACCUUAAAGAGCUGGAGAAAGAACAGAAAAUAAAGCCCAAAACAGGCAGCAGAAAGGAAAAAAUAAAGAUUUGAGCAGAAACCAAUGAUACCAAAGUCAAGAAAACGGUAGGACAGAUCAAUGAAACCAGAAGCUUGUUCCUUGAAAGAAGUAACAAAAUUGCUAAACCCCUAGCCAGAUUGAUCACAAUGAAAAAGGAAAGGACCCAAAUAAAUAAAAUUAAGAAUUAAAGAGGAGAGAUCACAACCAACACUGCAGAAAUAAAAAACAAUCUUAAGAGAAUAUUAUGAGCAAUUAUAUUCCGUUUUAUUGAGAAAUGUGGAAGAAAUGGAUACAUUCCUAGAAACAUAUAAGCUACCAAAAGUGGAACAGGAAGAAAUAGAAACUUUGAACCCAUCACCAGUAAAGAAAGUGGAUUAUUAAUCAAAAAUCUCCCAAAAAACAAGAGUCCAGGGCCGGAUGGCUUUCCAGUGGACCUCUACCAAAUAUUUAAAGAAGAGUUAACAUCUAUUCAUGUGAAGCUUUCCCAAAAAAUAGAAAUGGAAGGCAAGCUACCAAACUCAUUCCACGAGGCCAGCAUUACCUUGAUUCCAAAACCAGACAAAGACCCCACUUAAAAGGAGGACUACAGACCAAUUUUCCUGAUGUAAAUGGAUGCAAAAAUUCUCAACGAGAUACUAGCCAAGCAGAUCCAACAAUACAUUAAAAGAAUUAUUCACCACGAUCAAGUGGGAUUUAUACCUGGGACACAGGGCUGGUUCAAUAUCUGCAAACCAAUCAA